rnacentral:rRNA from 1 species
UCGGGAAUUUUGGGCAAUGGGCGAAAGCCUGACCCAGCAACGCCGCGUGAAGGAUGAAGUAUUUCGGUAUGUAAACUUCGUAAGAAUAGGAAGAAUAAAUGACGGUACUAUUUGUAAGGUCCGGCUAACUACGUGCCAGCAGCCGCGGUAAUACGUAGGGACCAAGCGUUGUUCGGAUUUACUGGGCGUAAAGGGCGCGUAGGCGGCGUGGUAAGUCAGCUGUGAAAUCUCCGAGCUUAACUCGGAACGGUCAGCUGAUACUGCUGUGCUAGAGUACAGAAAGGGCAAUCGGAAUUCUUGGUGUAGCGGUGAAAUGCGUAGAUAUCAAGAGGAACACCUGAGGCGAAGGCGGGUUGCUAGGCUGAUACUGACGCUGAGGCGCGAAAGCUAGGGUAGCAAA